rnacentral:lncRNA from 1 species
AUGUUGGCUCUUUUUGUUAUUUUCUGGCUUGCGUUGGCACAUCAAUCUUUGGGCUCUGAACACAUCGACGAGCUAUUGAAAAAACAUCCAACUUGGUCGUUUGAGGUGGAAAGUGUGGAUACGUUCAUAAAUAAAGCCCUGCAUGAGCACUCGUUUGGAGGACAAAACUUGGAAGAGACGGAAAAAGAUCUAAGAGAGGAGGUGAAAAGGAGUCUAGCACCUGGAGCUACGCAUAUCGUAAGGAAAUUGGUGAUCCCAAAUGGGAAACUGAUCCAUCAAAAGUUCCAUCCUUCUUCGACGCUAGUGAAAGAUGGCCGGCCUGCGCCCGCUGAUUGGUUUUGUGGAAGACGAGGGAAAUUGCUACACAGAUACGCCUGCUGUAAUCUCGUCUGUCUUGACCGAUCGGUAUUGUAUAUUUACCAACGGCACUUGGAAGGAGAGGUUUUCACAGGAGAUGCUUAUAGGUUGUGCUGAGCUGUGCACUGGCAAUCCCGUGCAAUAUAUUUCUUGGAAUUACGCCAAAACUCAAGGAAUUCCUACCGGCGGAACUCAUGGAUCAGGCAAGGUUUGUUAAUCAAUAAAAAAUCCAGUAAUUUGCAAAGAAUACUUUUCUCAAAAAGAAUAUGACCGCUAAGUAAAUCGUCUUUCAAGUAUCUUAGAAUAUGUUAAAGUUACAAACAUAACAUGACUCCAUAAUAAAGGCAAUAUAUAUUUUUUAAAUGAUAAUGAAUUGAUAAUUAGGAUCGUAUUAAUUAUUUCUAUAACAAACAAUCCAAUUUUGUUGCAUGGAUUAUUUUCGAAAUACCUAUCUUUGAAUGG